UAAGACUAAAUCAAUACUAAGCUGUAAAAAGCCCUAGUAUAAAUAAAAUAAAACACGAAAGUAGUCUUAAAAUUUCUGAAUUCACGAUAGCUAAGACCCAAACUGGGAUUAGAUACCCCACUAUGCUUAGCCUUAAACACAAAUACUUAAUAAACAAGAGUAUUCGCCAGAGAACUACUAGCAACAGCCUAAAACUCAAAGGACUUGGCGGUACUUUACAUCCCUCUAGAGGAGCCUGUUCUAUAAUCGAUAAACCCCGAUAAACCUCACCACCUUUUGCAAUCUCAGUCUAUAUACCGCCAUCUUCAGCAAACCCUAACAAGGCCUCACAGUAAGCACAAGAAUUUUACAUUAAUACGUUAGGUCAAGGUGUAACCUAUAAGGUGGGAAGAAAUGGGCUACAUUUUCUAUUAACUAGAACACUUACGAUAACUUUCAUGAAACCUUGAAAGUCAAAGGCGGAUUUAGUAGUAAGUUAGGAAUAGAGAGC
rnacentral:rRNA from 1 species